rnacentral:rRNA from 1 species
CGCGUAGUUAGCCGUGGCUUUCUGAUUAGGUACCGUCAAGAUGUGCACAGUUACUUACACAUUUGUUCUUCCCUAAUAACAGAGUUUUACGAGCCGAAACCCUUCAUCACUCACGCGGCGUUGCUCCGUCAGGCUUUCGCCCAUUGCGGAAGAUUCCCUACUGCUGCCUCCCGUAGGAGUCUGGACCGUGUCUCAGUUCCAGUGUGGCCGAUCACCCUCUCAGGUCGGCUACGUAUCGUCGCCUUGGUAAGCCGUUACCUUACCAACUAGCUAAUACGGCGCGGGUCCAUCUAUAAGUGAUAGCAAAACCAUCUUUCACUUUAGAACCAUGCGGUUCUAAAUGUUAUCCGGUAUUAGCUCCGGUUUCCCGAAGUUAUCCCAGUCUUAUAGGUAGGUUACCCACGUGUUACUCACCCGUCCGCCGCUAACUUCAAAGGAGCAAGCUCCUUAUCUGUUCGCUCGACUUGCAUGUAUUAGGCACGCCGCCAGCGUUCAUCCUGAGCCAGGAUCAAACUCU